rnacentral:rRNA from 1 species
UCCUACGGGAGGCAGCAGUAGGGAAUCUUCCGCAAUGGACGAAAGUCUGACGGAGCAACGCCGCGUGAGUGAUGAAGGCUUUCGGGUCGUAAAACUCUGUUGUUAGGGAAGAACAAGUGCUAGUUGAAUAAGCUGGCACUUUGACGGUACCUAACCAGAAAGCCACGGCUAACUACGUGCCAGCAGCCGCGGUAAU